GACGAACGCUGGCGGCGUGCCUAAUACAUGCAAGUCGAGCGGACGGAUGGGAGCUUGCUCCCAGACCGUCAGCGGCGGACGGGUGAGUAACCCGUGGUCAACCUGCCUGUAAGACUGGGAUAACUCCGGGAAACCGGGGCUAAUACCGGUUAACUCUUUCCCUCACAUGAGGGAAAGCUGAAAUAUGGCAUCUCGCUAUCACUUACAGAUGUGCUCGCGGCGCAUUAGCUAGUUGGUGAGGUAACGGCUCACCAAGGCGACGAUGCGUAGACGACGGGAGAGGGUGGUCGGCGACACUGGGAGUGAGACACGGCCCAGACUACUGCGAGAGGCAGCAGUAGGGAAUCUUAGGCAAUAGAGGAGAGUCUGACGGAGCAAGGCCGCGUGAGUGAUAACGGUGUUCGGAGCGUAAAACUCUGUUGUCAGGGAAGAACAAGUACCGGAGUAAAUGACGGUAGCUUGACGGUACCUGGCAAGAAAGCCACGGCUAACUACGUG
rnacentral:rRNA from 1 species